rnacentral:rRNA from 1 species
UACGAAGGGGGCUAGCGUUGCUCGGAAUCACUGGGCGUAAAGGGUGCGUAGGCGGGUCUUUAAGUCAGGGGUGAAAUCCUGGAGCUCAACUCCAGAACUGCCUUUGAUACUGCGGGUCUCGAGUCCGGGAGAGGUGAGUGGAAUUCCUAGUGUAGAGGUGAAAUUCGUAGAUAUUAGGAAGAACACCAGUGGCGAAGGCGGCUCACUGGCCCGGUACUGACGCUGAGGCGCGAAAGCGUGGGGAGCAAACAGG